GUGAGGAAUCUUCCACAAUGGGCGAAAGCCUGAUGGAGCAACGCCGCGUGAAGGAUGAAGGUCUUCGGAUUGUAAACUUCUUUUAUGAGUGAAGAAUAUGACGGUAACUCAUGAAUAAGCACCGGCUAACUACGUGCCAGCAGCCGCGGUCAUACGUAGGGUGCAAGCAUUAUCCGGAGUGACUGGGCGUAAAGAGUUGCGUAGGCGGUUAUGUAAGCGAAUAGUGAAACCUGGUGGCUCAACCACACAGACUAUUAUUCGAACUGCAUAACUCGAGAAUGGUAGAGGUAACUGGAAUUUCUUGUGUAGGAGUGAAAUCCGUAGAUAUAAGAAGGAACACCAAUGGCGUAGGCAGGUUACUGGGCCAUUUCUGACGCUAAGGCACGAAAGCGUGGGGAGCGAACCGGAUUAGAAACCCGAGAAGUCC
rnacentral:rRNA from 1 species